GACGAAGGGGGCUAGCGUUGUUCGGAAUUACUGGGCGUAAAGCGCGUGUAGGCGGUUGUUCAAGGUGGAUGUGAAAGCCUUGAGCUCAACUCAAGAAAUGCAUUCAGGACUGGAUGACUAGAGGACCGGAGAGGAUAGUGGAAUUCCCAGUGUAGUGGUGAAAUACGUAGAGAUUGGGAAGAACACCAGUGGCGAAGGCGGCUAUCUGGACGGUUUCUGACGCUAAGACGCGAAAUCGUGGGGAGCAAACGGG
rnacentral:rRNA from 1 species